rnacentral:rRNA from 1 species
AGAGUUUGAUCAUGGCUCAGAUUGAACGCUGGCGGUAUGCUUAACACAUGCAAGUCGAAUGGUAACAGUCCCUCACCUAGAAAUUUCUUAAAAAGAGAUUUGUAGGUGAGGGAGCUGACGAGUGGCGGACGGGUGCGUAAUGUAUAGGAAUCUGCCUGGUAGUGGGGGACAACUCGGAGAAAUUCGAGCUAAUACCGCAUAAGCCCUACGGGGGAAAACGGGGGAUCUUCGGACCUCGUGCUAUUAGAUGAGCCUAUAUUAGAUUAGCUUGUUGGUGAGGUAAUGGCUUACCAAGGCGACGAUCUAUAGCUGGUCUGAGAGGAUGAUCAGCCACACUGGGACUGAGACACGGCCCAGACUCCUACGGGAGGCAGCAGUGGGGAAUAUUGGACAAUGGGCGAAAGCCUGAUCCAGCAAUACCGCGUGUGUGAAGAAGGCCUGAGGGUUGUAAAGCACUUUCAAUUGGGAGGAAUACCUAAUAGUUAAUAGCUAUUAGAUUGACA